CCAAGAUCAUCACUGGAACUCAGCUCUGGUGACUGAGGCUGAGACCGUUUGGAUCUCUCACCCUGACUUGCAGGCCACCAGUAGAAAAUUUACGGGAGAGCAGAAUUUGAUCCUUUUUCUUUGGACCUAAAGCACCUUGAAAAGCUGUUGCCAGGGUAAAGUAGAAAUAAAGGUA